rnacentral:rRNA from 1 species
UAAGGAAUAUUGCUCAAUGGGAGAAAUCCUGAAGCAGCAACGCCGCGUGGAGGAUGAAGGGUCUAUGGCUUGUAAACUCCUGUAAAGAAGGAAAAAAUUCCCAUUAGAUGGGAGAUGAUGGUACUUCUGGAGUAAGCCCCGGCUAACUACGUGCCAGCAGCCGCGGUAAUACGUAGGGGGCAAGCGUUGUCCGGAUUUACUGGGUGUAAAGGGUGCUCAGGCGGAUUUGUAAGUCAGAGGUGAAAUCUUACAGCUGAACUGUGAAACUGCCUUUGAUACUGCAAGCCUAGUGUAUGGAAGAGAGUGAUGGAAUAUCUGGUGUAGCAGUGAAAUGCGUAGAUAUCAGAUAGAACACCAAUGGCGAAGGCAGUCACUUGGUCCAUUACUGACGCUAAAGCACGAAAGCGUGG